GACGAAGGGGGGCUAGCGUUGUUCGGAAUUACUGGGCGUAAAGCGAGUGUAGGUGGUUGUCCAAGUUGGAUGUGAAAGCCUUGAGCUCAACUCAAGAAAUGCAUUCAGGACUGGGCGACUAGAGGACCGGAGAGGAUAGUGGAAUUCCCAGUGUAGUGGUGAAAUACGUAGAUAUUGGGAAGAACACCAGUGGCGAAGGCGGCUAUCUGGACGGUUUCUGACACUAAGACUCGAAAGCGUGGGGAGCAAACAG
rnacentral:rRNA from 1 species